CGACGCAACGCCGCGUGGAGGACGAAGAUCUUCGGGUCGUAAACUCCUGUCGAGCGGGAAGAAACCCGCGGGGGUGAAUAAUCCCUGCGGCUGACGGUACCGCUAAAGGAAGCCCCGGCUAACUCCGUGCCAGCAGCCGCGGUAAUACGGGGGGGGCAAGCGUUGUUCGGAAUUACUGGGCGUAAAGGGCUCGUAGGCGGCCAACUAAGUCGGAUGUGAAAUCCCCAGGCUCAACCUGGGAACUGCAUCCGAUACUGGAUGGCUUGAAUCCGGGUGAGGGAUGCAGAAUUCCAGGUGUAGCGGUGAAAUGCGUAGAUAUCUGGAGGAAUACCGGUGGCGAAGGCGGCAUCCUGGACCGGCAUUGACGCUGAGGAGCGAAAGCCAGGGGAGCAAACGGGAUUAGAUACCCCGGUAGUCCUGGCCCUAAACGAUGAAUGCUUGGUGUGACGGGUAUCGAUCCCUGUCGUGCCGAAGCUAACGCAUUAAGCAUUCCGCCUGGGGAGUACGGUCGCAAGGCUG
rnacentral:rRNA from 1 species